rnacentral:rRNA from 3 species
GUGGUGGCACAGAAUCGGAGGCCCCGACUGUUUACUUAAAACACAGCUUUCUGCGACGAAUAAUAUCUUUGUAUAGAAAGCGAAUUUUGCCCAAUGCCAUUAAUAUAAGUAAUUGAAGUUCUGGUCAAUGGCGGUCUUAUCUAUGAGGAUCCUAAGGUAGCAAAAUUAAUUGUCCAUUAAAUGUGGUCCUGACUGAAUAAAGUAACGAUGGUCUCGCUGUCUCUACAAGUAUCUCAG